rnacentral:lncRNA from 1 species
GGUCUGGGGACAUGAAGACCAAGAGACAGGGCCAGCGCAAGGAGAAGGUACACCAAUAAAAAGUGAUGCGUCUAUUCUUGUUCCCAUUUAUCCAACAAGCUAAAUGACUCCAGCAAGCAUUAGCAUCUGCCAUAGCACUUGCUUAGAUCAGGCAGGAGUCAAUAGUUUGCCAAAAGUUCAAUGAUACAUUCUGAAUGUGGUGUAUCAUUUACAGUCACUUUCUCUCUCAUGCCCCUUUCUCCAACACCCAUAAUUUUUUUCCCUUCCUUUUCUCUGGGAUUUCUUGCUAUUUGACAGCAAAGCAAAUGAGCUAUGCCCAGUGAAGAAUGAACACACGACUCUGGUUACCUGGCUUUGCUCGCUGCCUCUGUUUAAUCGCGUGUGACUUCCUGAGUAAUUGGAGAAGACGCUGGGUGUGAAGUGAGGAAUGUGCAGCUACUGCAGCUCUCUUGAUGACCUCCAUCGGCUUUGGAGAAGUUUGGAUUCAGAGAUACCACGGUAAGAGAGAACAGUAAUGAUGUUGAAGGACAAGGGGAGAGUGAGCCACAGGAAAAUGGGCAGGUGGGGCUCCCCUUGAAUCUCUAGGUCUGGCAACAAUGGCAGUGGAAAAUGUGAAUGCCGGGACAGAACUGCUGAUGCUGUGGCUUCCUUCUCAGCUCUGUCACCAACUCCUUUGACCUUGGCAAACUUCUUCUCCUGGACUCAUUGCUUCUCCACCUAGAUGUCAUUAAGGCUCCAAAUGGGCAGGAAGCCGGAGCCUCGGACAAUGGCUCCCUUUUGCCAGUGAUCCUUAGGUAGACGUCUGGGAGGAAUCUGACUGCGGUUUUCCCCAAACAAUGCCCCCUUUCAGCAGGAAGUAGCUAAGACUGGUCAUCAUCCAUAUUCUAAAGGCAGUUAGAUAUGCCUCUUCAGAGGGUGAAAAUGAUACAGAAUGGCUCUGGGCUCCCAGCUAAACCCGACCCUCAAGCCUGGAACCUCAGCCCUAAGUAAAAACAGCUGACCCUGAAGGGCUGGCCUUCCAACUAAGCUCCACCCUUAAGCUUGGAACCUUGGCCCUAAGUGAAAACAGCUGACUUUGCUUUUCCACCAAAAUGAUUGCCUUUUUGGCCUGCCACACCCCUAUCCAGUGCCCAUAAAAAGACUUCAGCUGAAAGAGCAACACAAGCAGCUGAUGCAAGUAGUUGGGGGAUGCAAGCUUCUGAACAUCAGGGAUACCUGCAGCUGGUCAUCAGAGACUAUGGAUAGACAUGGCUAACUUCAGACAGUUCAGCUUCAGGGAGAGAUUACCUUCUUCCUGCACUAUUCCCUUUGCAAUUCCCCAUCCAACUGAGAGCCAGUGUUAUCACCCAAUAAAAUCCUCUGCAUACACCAACCUUCAAAUAGUUCAUGUGACCUGAUUCUACCUGGACACCGAACAAGAACUCAGGUACAAAAAAGGGCAGGUGCAGGAGGCUGUCACCCUGACCCUUCCCUGAGUUGUUAACACUUAGCUGUCCACAGACUGCAGGCUUGGUGAAACGAGGCACUCCAGUUUCUGCCUACUAAGGGGGUCAAGGGAAAUAUUCCAUCUCAAUAGUAUAUUAUCUUUUUCAUGUGCUAUUGGAUUUAAUUUGCUAGUAUUUUUUGAGGAUUUUUGUGUUUAUGUUCAUCAGGGAUACUGAUGAACAUAGUUUUCUUUCUUUGUUGUGUCUUUGCCUGGUUUUGGUAUCAAGAUAAUGCUGACCUCCUAGAAUGAGUUAGGAAGAAGACCCUUCUUUUCAUUUUUUUGAAUUAGUUUGAGGAGAAUUGGUGUUAGUUCUUUUUUGUA